UACGGAGGAUGCGAGCGUUAUCCGGAUUUAUUGGGUUUAAAGGGUGCGUAGGCGGGCUUUUAAGUCAGCGGUAAAAAUUCGGGGCUCAACCCCGUCCGGCCGUCGAAACUGGGGGCCUUGAGUGGGCGAGAAGAAGGCGGAAUGCGUGGUGUAGCGGUGAAAUGCAUAGAUAUCACGCAGAACCCCGAUUGCGAAGGCAGCCUUCCGGCGCCCUACUGACGCUGAGGCACGAAAGUGCGGGGAUCGAACAGG
rnacentral:rRNA from 1 species